AACGAACGCUGGCGGCAUGCCUAACACAUGCAAGUCGAACGAAGCCUUCGGGCUUAGUGGCGCACGGGUGCGUAACGCGUGGGAACCUGCCUUUAGGUUCGGAAUAACUCAGAGAAAUUUGAGCUAAUACCGGAUAAUGUCUUCGGACCAAAGAUUUAUCGCCUUUAGAUGGGCCCGCGUAGGAUUAGCUAGUUGGUGGGGUAAAGGCCUAUCAAGGCGACAAUCCUUAGCUGGUCUGAGAGGAUGAUCAGCCACACUGGGGCCGAGACACGGCCCAGACUCCUACGGGAGGCAGCAGUGGGGAAUGUUGGACAAGGGGCGAAAGACUGAUCCAGCAAUGCCGCGUGAGUGAUGAAGGCCUUAGGGUUGUAAAGCUCUUUUACCAGGGAUGAUAAUGACAGUACCUGGAGAAUAAGCUCCGGCUAACUCCGUGCCAGCAGCCGCCGUAACAC
rnacentral:rRNA from 1 species